UACGUAGGGGGCUAGCGUUGUCCGGAAUCAUUGGGCGUAAAGCGCGUGUAGGCGGCCCGGUAAGUCCGCUGUGAAAGUCGGGGGCUCAACCCUCGAAUGCCGGUGGAUACUGUCGGGCUAGAGUACGGAAGAGGCGAGUGGAAUUCCUGGUGUAGCGGUGAAAUGCGCAGAUAUCAGGAGGAACACCAAUUGCGAAGGCAGCUCGCUGGGACGUAACUGACGCUGAGACGCGAAAGCGUGGGGAGCAAGACGG
rnacentral:rRNA from 1 species